rnacentral:tRNA from 1 species
GCUUUUAAAGGAAAAUCAGUCUUUCCCCUGGUUUUAGGGUCCAGUAUUUCUUGGUGCAAAUCCAAGUGAAAGCU